UUUUAAUGCUCGUCUUGUUAAUGCUAUUCUUAUUCCAAACAUAGGUGUCAGAGGUGAAACAACCGUGCCGACAAGGUCAACAAGUGGCACUCCUGAAACGCCUACAGAAUAUCGGACUCCUACGCCAGAUUUUACCACAAUUCACCAGGCAUUGCCCACAACACCAUCACAAGCAGACAUAGUCCACCAGAAGACCUCCCUCUUCAGACGGAUCGAGGGACGGCGCCUUCGAAAUCACGUGAUCAAAGCCAAACAUGGCUUGUCAUUGGUCAAAUGCGGUGCCGAGUGUAACAAGCGAGAUGACUGCGUGUCAUUUAACAUCAGCAACGGUGUGUGUGAACUCAACAACCAGGUGGUAGGCGGCACCGGUGUCGACGGAGACGACUUUGUUGAAGAAGUGGGAUUUAAAUAUUAUGAGAAACAAUAAACUUAGAGUCACAGGUUUUCUUGGACGUAUUAAUCGUCAUGACAAUAGUUUGCGAAAACAGGUGAUUGGCGUUAAGGUUGUACAUAUAUGUUAA